CCCGUGAAUCCGGGCGGUUAGAAUUCAGAAUCGAUGGCGGCGUUUCGCGCGUCGUCGUCGAUUUGAUAUUUCUGCCGCCGUCGUAAGAAACACGGACGUCGCGACCCGUUCGACGUUGGUCUCGAGAACCGCGCUUUUUUAACGUUCGCCGUGUCCGGGCGCGUUCGCGUGUCCGGUACGCGGCGAGGGCGCGGCCUUCUGGCCAGCUAUUCGUCGGACGGUAGGUAACGAGCGCGGUAUUCGGCGUCGCCUUUUCGCGCGACGCCGACACCGGUCAGCGACGAAUCUUCGGGCCUCUUUCCGACCCGUCUUGAAACACGGACCAAGGAGUCUAACGUGUGCGCGAGUCGCGGGGUAUCGAGUCGCGCGCG
rnacentral:rRNA from 1 species